CCUCUGGGAGACGUCACUUCCGGGUCUGAGCGCGUUACAGGCCCGGGCUUCCCGACGCCACUCCAGACUAGGACCUUCGAGAGGCCCCGCUGCCCAGCUGGGAGCGGGAGGACGGCCCGCCUGGCUGGCAGGAGAACGGGGCGUUUUAAAUCUCGGGCCGGGUCCUGGGCGGAAUCUCCACAACGUGCACAACGAUUGGAGGGAAGCUGAGUCCGUCACGUGACGCUCACCGGCUCAGAGGAACUCGCCGUUAUACCACUUCCAGAGAAGCUUAUGUGCUGAAGCAAAGGAGAGAUGCCAAUGGCUGUAUCACAGAGACAAUAAUGGUGACACCUACAGAUGAUGCCUGUGCAGGUCGGGCAAAACGUUCAGCGCAUGAAAACAGAAGAGGGGACACUUCUCAACUCACUUUAUAAGGCCAGCAUUACCCUGAUGCCAAAAUCAAGCUAUCACAAGGAAAGACUUCACAGAUCAACAUUCUAUGUGAACACAGAUACAAAAUUCUUUAAUAAAAGA